rnacentral:rRNA from 1 species
CGGUGAGUGGAAAGUGGCGGACGGGUGAGUAAAAUGUAGAGAAUCGUGCCCUAGAGAGUGGGACAACAGAGGGAAACUUCUGCUAAUACCGCAUAGUGCGCGUAGCUGAGAUGCUAGUUCGUGAAAACUCCGGUGCUCUGGGAUGAGUCUGCAUCUGAUUAGCUAGUUGGCGGUGUAAUGGACCACCAAGGCGACGAUCAGUAGCUGGUUUGAGAGGAUGAUCAGCCACAAUGGGACUGAGACACGGCCCAUACUCCUACGGGAGGCAGCAGUAGGGAAUUUUGCGCAAUGGGCGAAAGCCUGAACCGCAGCAACGCCGCGUGACCGAUGAAGCCCUUCGGGGUGUAAAGGUCUGUCAGUGGGGACGAAACUUGACGGUACCCACAGAGGAAGCAUCGGCUAACUCCGUGCCAGCCGCAGC